ACUAUGGGUAGUCACCGGGUGCCGCAGAAGCCCUGCCCGCCUGCUGCUUGGUGUUUAGCACAACACCCGGUGCCAAGCAGGUGUUCAGAGCUGAGAACGGUUGGAAAACUGGAUGGAAACAGCCGGGCCUCGAAGUGGGCAGUGGUGUGGCGAUUGAGGUGAGAGGGCAGCUGACACGAGUUUGACCUACUUUAUUAUCUUGCUCCAGGUGCUGACAGCUGAGCCAUUCCACACACCUUUGGGGCAAAGAAGUGCCGGAAGCCAGGGCCAAGUUCAAAGACCAAACAUUCUUUCCAAGGCGACCAGAAGCACCCUGGAGGGCUGGCUCCUAGUUACAUAAACCGCAGUCCCGUCCCACUGUCCCAGAGCUGUUGAGGAGACGCUGAGGAUUGAAAAGGUGCAGACCGUUCCUGCUCGUCUCCGACACAUUUCCCAGACACCGGGAUCACUGUCUGAAACCACUGGCCACCCUCUGCAGGCUGGAG
rnacentral:lncRNA from 1 species